AACUCCUUUCAGAACUCAGUGUCGGACGGUGGAGGGAAGACAAGGUGGUGGCAACUUUGGCCUGGGUUUCUCUCUCCCUCUUGCCCCACCCCCCACACCCACUCUUGCCACCUCCACUAUGAGACUUUGAACAAAUUGCUGAACAUUUUUAAGUCGCCUUUCCUCCUCUGUAGGUGGAGAGAGCAUUGCCCUCCUCAUGUGAGUGUUGGGAGGAUUACGAGGAUGACACAGAGCCCAGCACUCCAGCAGGAGCACUCAAUGCCAAAGGCUGCUUUAUCAUACUUGGAAGCAAAAGUGUCUAUCUCUUUUUUUACUCUUAAAAUGAAUACCUGGAAACAAAAUGGCUGUGGGGAUUAUACUUAUGAUAGCAACCCAAACUAUGAAAUACUUCAGAAUACAUUUUCUUUAGAAGCGUAUUGAACCUAUAAAAAGAAAACCACAAAUUAAAAGAUAUAAAGAUUUGAAUGAAUGAAAAGACACAUGUUUUUGUAUGAAAAGAUGUAAAUUCAUAAAAGUUCUUUAAAAUUACUAUAUAAAUUUCAUGUAGUUCCAGCUAGAAUAUUAAUAAAUUUCUUUUUUUUAAAGAAUUGUCAAAAGUAUGAAAAAUAAGAACAGAGGAGGAAACCUGUUCUCCAGAAAUCAGGAUUGACCAGAAAACCACUGUAAUCAGAGCAAUUGGCAGCAGAGACUGCUAGUCUACCCUCAGUAUUCAUUCUUCCUUAGAACCCUAGAUCUACAUCUGGGUACAUAGCCACUUGGAAUAAAGACCACAUCUCCUAGCCUAUCUUUGAACUUAGUGUGGCUAUGUGAGUAAGUUCUGGCAAAUGAAAUACUGGUAGAAGCGUCCUGUGCAACUUCAGAAAAUGUCCUUAGAGGGAGAGAGACAUCUUUCUUUGUCCCUUUCACCUUCUGUUGGUUGGAAAGCAGCCAUUUUGGCUGGAACUGGAGCAGCCAUCUUGGACUAGGAGAAAAAAGCUAUACGUUGAUGGUGGAAGAACAACAAGACAGACGGAGCCUGGGUCCCUGAAACUGUGGAAGGGACCCAGGACUUAUCUCUGGACUUCAUUAAUGAGAGAGAGAAAUAAACGUUUAUUUAUUUAGUUUAAGCCACUAUUACUUAAUUUUUUCUGUCAAUCACAGGCAAACCUGAUUCUAAUUGAUAUUAAAUUUGGUACCUGGAAAAAGACUACUACAAGUGACAGAACCUAAAUGCUUAAUUAAUGAAUGCAGGUGGGUGGCAGAUGGCAAGGACUCAGACAUUGCUGACUGGGAAGCUUGUGAUCCUUGUUAUGCAGUAGUCAAAUAUUUGAUCAAAACCAUGUGUUUCAGUUAGCUAUUACUGUGUGGCAAAUGACCUCCAAACUUAAUAGGUUAGAACAACAAGCGUUUUAUUACCUCUCACCAUUCUGUGGGUUGACCGUGAUCGCUGGGUGUUUCUUCUGCAUCUCACAGGGGUAUUUCAUGAGGUUACAGUCAGAUUGGCGCUGGGGAUGAAUAUGAAAGUUGGCCUCAUUCACGUGUGUGGCACCAGGAUAGCCAAAAGCUGUGACCUCUCCUUCCAUGUGGCUUAGCCUGGGCAUCAUAACAUGGCGGCUGGAUCCCAAGAAUGCAAAAGUGGAAGACCUUCUUAAGGCUUAGGCCUAGAACUGGCAAGUGUCACUCUGCCACAUUCUAUUGGUUAGAGUGAGUCACAGGCUCAGCCCAGAUGUAAAGGGAGGAUACUACACAAGGCUGUGAAUAUUGGUAACAUGGUUCUCUGGAGACAAUCUUCAGACAAUAGCUACCUCACCUUGGAAGGCAGAUCAUGGACUGACUGAGGUUAUAGCAAUGCAAUGGAGCCAUGUAUAAAUGAUAAGGAAAUUCAGGGCUGGGCUCAGUGGCUCACACCUGUAAUCCCAGCACUUUGGGAGGCCAAGGUGGGUGGAUCACCUGAGGUCAGGAGUUUGAGACCAGCCUGACCAACAUGGUGAAACCCUGUCUCUACUAAAAAUACAAAAGUUAGCCAAGUGUGGUGGCACGUGCCUGUAAUCCCAGCUACUCCAGAGGCUGAGGAAUUGCUUGAACCUGGGAGGCAGAGGUUGCAGUGAGCCAAGAUUGCGCCACUACACUCCAACCUGGGCAACAAGAGUGAGACUCCACCUCAAAAAAAAAAAAAAAGAUACAGAAAUUCAGAACGUUUCUGUUGUCUGGCUUCUUCUUGCUACUUUUAGCAAGUCCUGUGAGAGAGAAAAUCAAGCUAGAGUUGGCUUCUUUGCACAGCUUUGCUAAGGGAGGAACUCUUUGCUAUAACCUAUAAUCUGGGUUGAUUG
ensembl:lncRNA